GCGUGAUUAGCUCAGUUGGUAGAGCACCUGACUCUUAAUCAGGUGUCCAGGGUUCGAAUCCCUGAUGACGCACCA
rnacentral:tRNA from 1 species